rnacentral:rRNA from 1 species
GACGAACGCUGGCGGCGCGCUUAACACAUGCAAGUCGAACGGAAAGGCCUGCUUUCCCUUGUGGAUUGCGGGUACUCGAGUGGCGAACGGGUGAGUAACACGUGAGUGAUCUGCCCCCAACUUGGGUAUAAGCCUGGGAAACUGGGUCUAAUUCCCGAUAGGACUGCAGGGUGGUGCCUGUGGUGGAAAACGAUUUUCUAGUGGUUGGGGAUGAGCUCGCGGCCUAUCAGCUUGUUGGUGGGGUAAUGGCCUACCAAGGCGGCGACGGGUAGCCGGCCUGAGAGGGUGGACGGCGACAUUGGGACUGAGUAACGGCACAGACUCCUACGGGAGGCAGCAGUGGGGAAUAUUGCACAAGGGGCGGAAGCCUGAUGCAGCGACGCCGCGUGGGGGAUGACGGCCUUCGGGUUGUAAACUCCUUUCGACCGCGAGGAAGCCACCUGGUUGGAAGGGUGGUGACGGUAGUGGUAGAAGAAGCUCCGGCUAACUACGUG